UCCUAACAACACAAAACAUUCCAGGAAUGUAUAGGUACUACCGUUCUAUUCCGUGAACAUCUAUCUGAUUAAAUUAUGGGUGGAAAGUUACCACAAGAUAUUCUAUGAACAUAGUACAAUGUCUUCCUGGAGGGGGAAAAUUUUCCAUUACAAGAUUUUAAGAGAGGCCAUUUAUUGUACUGUUCAAUUUGCGUUCAUUUUCAAAUUUGCCGCGCGAGUAUCUAUGUAGCGUCUCGUGGUCAUUGGUCAUCACAUUUCAUUUUCAUAACCUUAGACAAGGAAAGAGAGAGGACGAGUAAUCCUAUGACCAAAAGUGAAGCCAAACUGACACCAGAGAUUUUGAUCAUCGACGUAUCUUUGGGGUAUUGUUAUGCAUUGAGUAUUUAAAAUAAAAACAUGAAAUGUAUUUAAAAUGAAGAAUUUGUGUACGGUAAAUGUUUUAUUAAGUUGCUCAUAUUACGUACAUAUGUUUCAAUACAUACACAUGUUUUUAUUACGAAUUUUAGAUGAUGAUUUACUUUAUUUUUUAUGAAAUUUUAACCUUCAACGAACACCCACCACUGACAACCCAUUGUUAUUUUUGACGUGACCGCCAUGUUUCUGGUGACAAACAAACCAAAAACUGGCUUCACUUUUGGAACGUGUGUUUUAAAUGAGUGUUACCCGUCCUCUCUUUUUUCCUUGUCUAAGUUCAUAACAUAACCGAUAACCUAAAAAUUUAGUAAAAAAGUAAAAAUUUUGAUUGGAAAAAAAUGCAUCGAUAAGGGGGUGUGGGAAAUGGAAAUUAGUGGCUUUUUUGCUGUACUGUCUGCUAGUUUUUGCUCUGGGCACUGGCUAGAUCUCUUGUUUAAACAAUUUUAAUCAGCUGAAAGUGGCCUACAAAAAAAAACCAAGAAGGAAAUGUAUAGCCUUGUGGCUAUGAAAGGCAAAAGAGAGAUAUAAAAAGUGUAUUGGCUAGUUGGAAGAAAGUCCACAUUGUCCAUGCAUAAUAAGUUAUUACAUUAUCAACAAAUAUCAAGAAGAUAGCAGGGUCACGAGCAUCAACUUCAUGAGUUCAAGAAUAUCGAGGAAAUCCAGCUCCUCGAUACUACUGGGCAAACUAGAAGAUUGAAGAGGACAAAUCCUUUUGAACUAGUUUGAGUGAUAGGUGAUAGUGAAAAACGGAGCAUAGUGCUUGUGUGCUGUGCCUGUGUAUGUUAGAAUAGUGCACGAUCUUGUUAGAUUAGAUAAGAGACGCUAUGGGGUAAGCUCUUCAUUUUAAGAAACAGUAGUAAUUUAGGCUAAAUUAAAAUUGCUCAUUGGUCAGUUAUGACCAGAUUGUUUUUUUAUGUUUGGCAAAAAGGACUUAAGUCAGAAUUGCACAUUGAUAAUGUUUUGAUGAUUUCUGGACCAGAAAAAAACUGUUGUAGAUGUAAACUGUAUGUACAGUAGAAUCUACUACAGUACUGUAGAAAUCAUCAAAACAUUAUCGAUGUGCAAUUCUGACUUAAGCCCUUUUUCCCAAACAUCAGAGAAUUGUAAUGUACAAUAAUUCUCCUAUCUGCUUUUUCAUGAAUUUUGUAGGAGACGAAAAACCAUUUUUAGGAUCAUCUGCUUUCACAUGUUUUGUAGUAAAUACAUAGUUGAAUUUACUACAAAACAUGUCAAAAAAUAUAUGAAAACAGGAGGUGACUAUAAAAAAAGUUUUUAAGUCCACUUUACAUCAACAAUAAAUUGGACAAGAAAUUGACCAAGUUAUUCAAGGCCAAAUUUGACGUGUAAAAGCACACUUUGACAUCUAAGUUUGUUCGUUAUAAACUUCACGUGAAGAAAUUGACGAAAAAGAAAAUUGUUCUAUUUUUUCAUUUAUUUGGCGUGAAUUCAGUGUCACCAACCUGUGUCCAUUUGGCGGGAAGUGGAAGUAGAGCUGUAGAGCUUUUUGUUUAUUAUUAUUUGUUGAGGUUGAGUCUUUCAUGUUCAUGACAACCUAAAAAUUUUGAUUGGAAAAUGCAUAUAAGAUAAGGGGGUGGGAAAAUGGAAAUUAGUGGCUUUUUUGCAGUUCUGUCUGUUAGUUUUGCUCUGGCUGGGUCUCUUUUGUUUAAACAAUUAUAAUCAGCUGAAAGUGGUCUACAAAAAAACCAGGAAGGAAACGUAUUAUAGCCUUGUUGUGGCUAUGAAAGGCAAAAGAAAGAUACCUAUAAAAAGUGUAUUGACUAGUUGGAAGAAACUCCACAUUGUCGAUGCAUAAUAAGAUAUUACUUUAUAAACAAAUAUCAAGACCUAGGAAUGGAACCUGGAUAAUAUAGUCAUCAAGAAGAUAGCAGGAGGUCAUGAGCAACAACAACUUCAUAAGUAUGAGAAUAUUGAGGAAAUCCAGCUCCUCGAUAUCUACUACUGGACAAACUAGAAGAUUGAAGAGGACAAAGCCUUUUGAACUAGUUUGAGUGAUAGGUGAUAGUGAAAAGCAGAGCGUAGUGCUUGUGUGCCUGUGUAUGUUAGAAUAGUGCACGAUCUUGUUAGAUUAGAUAAGAGACGCUAUAGGGUAAGCUCUUCAUUUUAAGGAACAGUAGUAAUUUAGGUUAAAUUAAAAUUGCUCAUUGGUCAGUUAUGACCAGAUUGUAAUUCUCUGAUGUUUGGCAAAAAGGGCUGAAGUCAGAAUUGCACAUCAAUAAUGUUUUGAUGAUUUCUGGACCAUAAAAAAAGUGUUGCAGACUUAAACUGUAUGUACCAAUAAAAAGAGCCGAUUUUUCUGGUCCAGAAAUCAUCAAAACAUUAUCGAUGUGCAAUUCUGACUUAAGCCCUUUUUCCCAAACAUCAGAGAAUUGCAAUGUACAAUUCAAUACAAAUGAAUCAUCAUCGUAGUGAUGAUUAUGGAAAAAAAUAUAUAUAUAUAUAGAAAUAUAUAUAUUUUGUGCAAUAAAAAUGUUUAUAUUUA